rnacentral:rRNA from 1 species
AACGAACGCUGGCGGCAGGCCUAACACAUGCAAGUCGAGCGCCCCGCAAGGGGAGCGGCGGACGGGUGAGUAACGCGUGGGAACGUACCCUUUGCUACGGAAUAGCCUCGGGAAACUGGGAGUAAUACCGUAUGUGUCCUUCGGGGGAAAGAUUUAUCGGCAAGGGAUCGGCCCGCGUUGGAUUAGGUAGUUGGUGGGGUAAUGGCCUACCAAGCCGACGAUCCAUAGCUGGUUUGAGAGGAUGAUCAGCCACACUGGGACUGAGACACGGCCCAGACUCCCCCGGGGGGCAGGAGGGGGGAAUCUUAGAAAAGGGGCAAAACCCUGAUCUGGCCAUGCCGGGGGAGGGGUGAAGGCCUUAGGGUUGUAAAGCUCUUUCAGGGGGGAAGAUAAUGACGUUCCCCCCAAAAGAAGCCCCGGCUAACCCCGU